rnacentral:rRNA from 1 species
AGGCCUAACACAUGCAAGUCGAGCGGAAGAGAGAAGCUUGCUCCUCUAUACAGCGGCGGACGGGUGAGUAAUGCCUAGGAAUCUGCCUGGUAGUGGGGGAUAACGUUCCGAAAGGGACGCUAAUACCGCAUACGUCCUACGGGAGAAAGCAGGGGACCUUCGGGCCUUGCGCUAUCAGAUGAGCCUAGGUCGGAUUAGCUAGUUGGUGAGGUAAUGGCUCACCAAGGCGACGAUCCGUAACUGGUCUGAGAGGAUGAUCAGUCACACUGGAACUGAGACACGGUCCAG